rnacentral:rRNA from 1 species
ACUCAAAGGAAUAGACGGGGGCCCGCACAAGCAGUGGAGUAUGUGGUUUAAUUCGAAGCAACGCGAAGAACCUUACCAAGCCUUGACAUCUCCUGCAUAGCCAAGAGAUUGGUGAAGCCCUUCGGGGCAGGAAGACAGGUGGUGCAUGGUUGUCGUCAGCUCGUGUCGUGAGAUGUUGGGUUAAGUCCCGCAACGAGCGCAACCCCUGCCGAUAGUUACUACGAGGAGAGGACUCUAUCGGGACCGCCGUUGACAAAACGGAGGAAGGAGGGGAUGAUGUCAAAUCAUCAUGCCCUUUAUGGCUUGGGCUACACACGUACUACAAUGGCCGUUAACAGAGGGGAACGAAGGGGUGACCCGGAGGGAAUCCGCUAAAAACGGUCUCAGUUCGGAUUGGAGGCUGCAACUCGCCUCCAUGAAGUCGGAAUUGCUAGUAAUCGCGGAUCAUCAUGCCGCGGUGAAUACGUUCCCGGGCCUUGUACACACCGCCCGU